rnacentral:sRNA from 1 species
UAUAGGUCUACGUGGGCUUCAUUCCUAC